rnacentral:rRNA from 1 species
UACAGAGGUCCCGAGCGUUGUUCGGAUUCACUGGGCGUAAAGGGUGCGUAGGUGGCGAUGAAAGUUCGAUGUGAAAUCUCCGGGCUUAACCCGGAAAAGGCAUUGAAAACUAUGUUGCUUGAGGUUUGGAGGGGGGACUGGAAUUCUCGGUGUAGCAGUGAAAUGCGUAGAUAUCGAGAGGAACACCAGUGGCGAAGGCGGGUCCCUGGACAACACCUGACACUGAGGCACGAAAGCUAGGGGAGCAAACAGG